GAUGAACGCUAGCGGCAGGCCUAACACAUGCAAGUCGAGGGGCAGCACGUCUUCGGAUGGUGGCGACCGGCGCACGGGUGCGUAACGCGUAUGCAACCUACCUCUUACAGUGGGAUAGCCCAGAGAAAUUUGGAUUAAUACCGCAUAGUAUACAGAUUCAGCAUUGGGACUGUAUUAAACAUUUAUGGGUAAGAGAUGGGCAUGCGUUCUAUUAGUUAGUUGGAGUGGUAACGGCACCCCAAGACAGCGAUAGAUAGGGGCCCUGAGAGGGGGAUCCCCCACACUGGUACUGAGACACGGACCAGACUCCUACGGGAGGCAGCAGUGAGGAAUAUUGGACAAUGGGCGAGAGCCUGAUCCAGCCAUGCCGCGUGCAGGAAGACGGCCCUAUGGGUUGUAAAACU
rnacentral:rRNA from 1 species